UGUAGCUUUAAGUUUAAUUGAGUUUAUAAUGUGAGCGGUAGGAAUGACAGGGAAAUAAGGAAUUUAGAGGAAAAUUCCUGUGAAUUUUUAUAUUGAAGAAUAAAGCUUUUAGUCUAUAUAAAAGUAGACUCCUAAUUAACAACAUCUAGGUUAGAGUUUGCAUAUUAUUAUGCUAAUUCUUAGGAUGCACAAAAAAUAAAUCAAAGGCUUUUUGAGGAUUUAAUUUUUCUAACCAAGUUAUAGAAGAGCACAGAUAAAAGCUAGUGUGAAGCAGAAAAAGAUUUUUGAGUAUGAAUUAAUUUUAUGUGUGGGAGUUCCUUAGCAAAUAUUCUUCUGUCAUAAUAGUUUUGCUUGCCUAUGAAACCUUGUAAGUCUGAGAGCUGGAAGAAUACCUACAUGGAUAAAAAGAAUGGCCUGUGUAAUUUUGUUAUCUACUCAGGGCAGGAAUCUUAUGGCUUUGUCUGUCCGAAUGUGUUACUGAUAAUAGAAGCACCCACAUUACUUUAAUAUUGGUUGCAACCUAUUAGCUCUACCUUC
rnacentral:lncRNA from 1 species